rnacentral:rRNA from 1 species
UACGUAGGGAGCAAGCGUUGUCCGGAAUCAUUGGGCGUAAAGCGCGCGUAGGUGGCUUCGUAAGUCCGUUGUGAAAGUCAAAGGCUCAACCUUUGAAAGCCGAUGGAUACUGUGAAGCUAGAGUACGGAAGAGGCGAGUGGAAUUCCUGGUGUAGCGGUGGAAUGCGCAGAUAUCAGGAGGAACACCAAUGGCGAAGGCAGCUCGCUGGAACGGUACUGACGCUGAGGCGCGAAAGCGUGGGGAGCGAACAGG